UAAUGGCUUACCAAGGCGACGGCGGGUAGCCGGCCUGAGAGGGUGACCGGCCACACUGGGACUGAGACACGGCCCAGACUCCUACGGGAGGCAGCAGUGGGGAAUAUUGCACAAUGGGCGCAAGCCUGAUGCAGCGGCGCCGCGUGAGGGAUGACGGCCUUCGGGUUGUAAACCUCUUUCAGUAGGGAAGAAGCGAAAGUGACGGUACCUGCAGAAGAAGCGCCGGCUAACUACGUGCCAGCAGCCGCGGUAAUACGUAGGGCGCAAGCGUUAUCCGGAAUUAUUGGGCGUAAAGAGCUCGUAGGCGGUUUGUCGCGUCUGCCGUGAAAGUCCGGGGCUCAACUCCGGAUCUGCGGUGGGUACGGGCAGACUAGAGUGAUGUAGGGGAGACUGGAAUUCCUGGUGUAGCGGUGAAAUGCGCAGAUAUCAGGAGGAACACCGAUGGCGAAGGCAGGUCUCUGGGCAUUAACUGACGCUGAGGAGCGAAAGCAUGGGGAGCGAACAGGAUUGGAUACCCUGGUAGUCCAUGCCGUAAACGUUGGGCACUAGGUGUGGGGGACAUUCCACGUUUUCCGCGCCGUAGCUAACGCAUUAAGUG
rnacentral:rRNA from 1 species